rnacentral:rRNA from 1 species
GUCCACGCCGUAAACGAUGGAUACUAGCUGUUCGGUAGCAAUACUGAGUGGCUAAGCGAAAGUGAUAAGUAUCCCACCUGGGGAGUACGUUCGCAAGAAUGAAACUCAAAGGAAUUGACGGGGGCCCGCACAAGCGGUGGAGCAUGUGGUUUAAUUCGAUGAUACGCGAGGAACCUUACCAAGGCUUAAAUGUAGUUUGACCGAUUUGGAAACAGAUCUUUCGCAAGACAAAUUACAAGGUGCUGCAUGGUUGUCGU